GAUGAAGAACGCAGUGAAAUGCGAUAAGUAAUGUGAAUUGCAGAAUUCAGUGAAUCAUCGAAUCUUUGAACGCACAUUGCGCCCGCCAGUAUUCUGGCGGGCAUGCCUGUCCGAGCGUCAUUUCAACCCUCAAGCCCCCGGGCUUGGUGUUGGAGAUCGGCGAGCCCCCCGGGGCGCGCCGUCUCCCAAAUAUAGUGGCGGUCCCGCUGUAGCUUCCUCUGCGUAGUAGCACACCUCGCACUGGGAAACAGCGUGGCCACGCCGUAAAACCCCCCACUUCUGAAAGGUUGACCUCGGAUCAGGUAGGAAUACCCGCUGAACUUAAGCAUAUCAAUAAGCGGAGGA
rnacentral:misc_RNA from 1 species